GACUACAGCUAAUAAGAUUUGUGAUUUCGCAGUUGUGCGUUGAGUUCAAAUUUAUCUUGACAUGGUGAAGGAUAGGAGCAGUAAAUAUGGAAUUUCACCAAACCGAAAUAAUGGCUCUGAUCAGCAAUAAUCAAAGUGGUACAGAAAACAACAUCCAACCUGAGAAAAAGACACUUGGAAGUUGCAUAAAUUGGACGCUUUUUAAACACCUUAUACUGCUAGUUUCUCUCGUAGCUAUUGGGAUUUGGCUCCAAACACCGUCAGACGCAUCAGAAGGCUUACGCAACUAUGAUGGAGUUCUUUGGGAAUUCUGCGGCUACGACCCCGUAGCGGGAACGCCCCGUGACUCCAUGUUCCCCGUCUACCAUCCGGAGAGUGCCACCGUGCCCCGAGGGGAGGCCCGUAGGACAAGAUUCAGGGAGAGAUUUAGCUUUCUUUGGACGGAGACGAUCGGGGCACCUAACUCUUUUCUCUGUGUUAUUGCAUCCUACUGCCUGUAAUACUAUAAAUGAACUAGUGGUUAAUCGACUCAUACUACGUCAUAAUACAAGGGACUGCAUGGCUGUGACGUCACAAUAACUGCUGACUUCACUUUCAUUGGGUGCAUGCCAUCUUUACCGGAAAAAAAACAGAAGACAAAAAUGAAAGGAGAAAAAA